GGAGUGUAAAACAUUAAAACAUUACACCUGUCACCCCAUUGAUCGCCAGGGUUGACUUGGUUGAUAUGAUGAGCUAGGUGGGUGUCCCCUUCCUCCCUCAGCACUCCAUGUGUGUCCUUUCCAUGCUUGGUGGAAGAGGUUGACUGUCCCAGGUAGAAGGAAUAUACCAAGGUCUCCACUUGGAUCCCAGGUAUACGAUAGCUGCGCUACCCUGCUAGAACCUCCAUGGAUAUGUGUUUUGCUAGCCAUAAAGUUGAAAAGAUGUGUCUACCUCUCAAGAGAUUCACAGGAUAUUGGAACUGGUCAGUGGCAACAUAUGACAAGAUAAGAGAUAAUUGGCUUUCGAU
rfam:Anolis carolinensis chromosome 1, whole genome shotgun sequence.